GAUGAAGAACGUAGCGAAAUGCGAUAAGUAGUGUGAAUUGCAGAAUUCAGUGAAUCAUCGAAUCUUUGAACGCACAUUGCGCCUCUUGGUAUUCCAUGGGGCAUGCCUGUUCGAGCGUCAUUUGUACCCUCAAGCUAUGCUUGGUGUUGGGUGUUUGUCCUCUCCUUUUGCGAUUGGACUCGCCUUAAAGACAUUGGCAGCCAGUGUAUUGGUCUUGAAGCGCAGCACAUUUUGCGAUUCUUGCUGAUAAUCACUAGCGUCCAGUAAGCCUAUUUUAACACUUUUGACCUCGGAUCAGGUAGGGAUACCCGCUGAACUUAAGCAUAUCAAUAAGCGGAGGA
rnacentral:misc_RNA from 1 species